AGAACGAACGCUGGCGGCAUGCCUAACACAUGCAAGUCGAACGAGACCUUCGGGUCUAGUGGCGCACGGGUGCGUAACGCGUGGGAAUCUGCCCUUGGGUUCGGGAUAACAGUUGGAAACGACUGCUAAUACCGGAUGAUGUCUUCGGACCAAAGAUUUAUCGCCCAAGGAUGAGCCCGCGUAGGAUUAGCUAGUUGGUGAGGUAAGAGCUCACCAAGGCGACGAUCCUUAGCUGGUCUGAGAGGAUGAUCAGCCACACUGGGACUGAGACACGGCCCAGACUCCGUACGGGGGCAGCAGUGGGGAAUA
rnacentral:rRNA from 1 species